CCGGUUUUCAAACCUGCUUGUAAAACACAACAAGUCCAACAUUGUUCUAAUUUCUCACAGGAGGACUGCGUGUAUCUACUUCGAAGUCUCGUUAUUUCAGUCAACACCCGUGCAUGGCUUCUGCUCACUGGGGAAGUUGCUGCAGGGGUAGGAGGAGACCUGGUGUCAGCCCUGGCCAGAACUGGCUCGCUCCUCUCUGCUUGUUGACAGUAACCAGGCAACAGGUUCAGGUGCGUAGGAUUGUUCAUCUCUGUUGUGUUCUGGGAGGAGAACUUGGGUCAGGAAUGCAGUUGGAGGUUUGACAGCACAUGGCUUCAGCACGCGCAGGUGCCUCUCCUGCUCUCAGGAAAGACCUGAAGAAUCCCAGCUCCAUGAUCUUGAAGGACUCGGGCCCACCCCCAGGUUUCCAGGACAUCUCGAGAGGAACAGAAACAUGGGGGCACAGCAUGGGGGUGUGCGCAGGAAGCAGAGGCACGGCUUACAGAGAAGCAGAGGUUGGGACUUUUCCUUGGCUGGCAAGAUGAAAUUCAGCCGCCAAGAGGCGCACAGUGCGCACCGUGCUGUCUGCAGCGACAUCUUCUGGCCACUUUUGGAAUAACUUUCCUUUGAGGAAUUGUCUUUAAAGAACGGUUUAGGCAAAAGCCAGGUGGAGGAUUUGUACUGUGGUUGUAUCUAGGUGAGAGGAGAGUUCAGCAUUUAUCACAAACCCAAGAAAGCCCUCAUUCUGCCUGGCAGAACUCCCCCUGAAGCCUGUAGCCAGUCAGCUCAGCCCACUGAAUAAUCAAACAUCCUUGGUAUCUAUGUCCAUUCCUCUGCAGGACAGGGUUGUCGAUAUGUAGCCUAGGCUGCCCUCGAACCUAGGAUCCUCUUGCCACAGCCUCCUGAGUGCCGGCAUUACAUCGCUGGUCAGCGUCAACACUUGGGUGACAGGAACAGGCUACUGUGCUUAUCUGUGUGUGUGUGUGUGUGUGUUUUGAAAUUUGUUGUUGGGCUGGUGAGAAGGCUCAGUGGUUGAGAGUGCCGACUGCUCUUCCAGAGGUCCUGAGUUCAAAUCCCAGCAACCACAUGGUGGCUCACAACCAUCCAUAACAAAAAUCUGGUGCCCUCUUCUGGAGUGUCUGAAGACAGCUACAAUGUACACACAUAUAAUAAACAAACAAACAAACAAACAAAUAAACAAACAAAUAAAUCUUAAAAAAAAGAAUUGAGAAACCAUCAGUUACAAGCCAAGUUCAAAGUCAACUAAUGUUACAAGACAC
rnacentral:lncRNA from 1 species